rnacentral:lncRNA from 1 species
CCUUUUGGAAUGGGACAGCAGAGGGAUGAACGGGUGUUUUGCAGGGCUGUGUUUCAUCUCAGCGAUCAACUGGUUGACCUAUAUGUGAGACUUUGCAAGCCGAGUGUGAUGAUCCUGCUUAGAAUCCCAGCAUUUGAGAGGCUGAGCCAGCAAAUUGACGGCAAGAUUUUACACUCCUUUGAGGUGAGACAGACCAACAGAUACCUGUAAACCAAUGAGUUCCUUUCAGCACCCUGGGAAUUGCAAGCAGAUGAACAUCGGUCCCUGCCCUCAAGAAAGCAUGCAAUGAUUUUGUGGCAUGGCAGAGAGCAACGGGGAUCCUAAGUGUUCAACUCUCUAGAGAGAGUGCUUAUCACAUCAGCUCCACCUGUGAUGGGAUAUUACACAUAGAUAAUUAAUAAAAUAAAAAGGUUAUAUUUUUACUUUGGCCAACACU